rnacentral:rRNA from 1 species
AUCAACUUUCGAUGGUAGGAUAGAGGCCUACCAUAGUUUUAAUGAAUAACAGGGAAUUAGGGUUCGAUUCCGGAGAGGGAGCCUGAGAAACAGCUAUCACAUCCAAGGAAGGCAGCAGGCGUGCAAAUUACCCAAUCCCAAUAUGGGAAUGUAGUGAUAACAAAUAAUAAUAUGGGGCCUUACAGAUUUCGUAAUUGGAACGAGUACAAUUUAAAUCUCUUAACGAGGAACAAUUGAAGGGCAAGUCUGGUGCCAGCAGUUGCGGUAAUUCCAGCUUCAAUAGCAUAUAUUAAAGUUGUUGCAGUUAAAAAGCUCGUAGUUAAAUUUCAGAAUCUGUCCAUCGGUCAUGCUUCAUUGUUCGUUCUGGUGUGAUGGGUUCUUACCUUCUGAAUAAUCAGUAUGCCAUUCACUUGGUGCGCUAGGGGAGUAGGACUAUUACCUUGAAAAAAUUAAAGUGCUCAAAGCAGGCUAGUGCCUGAAUACAUUAGCAUGGAAUAAUAAAAUAAGAUGGCAUAGUUCUAUUUUGUUGGUUUCUAGGAUCACCGUAAUAGUUAAUAGGGAUAGUUGGGAGCAUUAGUAUUCAAUUAUCAGAGGUGAAAUUCUUGGAUUUAUUGAAGACUAACUUCUGCGAAAGCAUUUGCCAAGGAUAUUUUCAUUAAUCAAGAAUGAAAGUUAGGGGAUCGAAAAUGAUCAGAUACCAUCAUAGUCUUAACCAUAAACUAUACCAACUAGGGAUCAGACGAUAUUAAUUUUUUAAUGACUCGUUCGGCGCCUUAUGGGAAACCAAAGUGUUUGGGUC